rnacentral:rRNA from 1 species
GACGAACGCUGGCGGCGUGCUUAACACAUGCAAGUCGAACGGAAAGGCCCUGCUUUUGUGGGGUGCUCGAGUGGCGAACGGGUGAGUAACACGUGAGUAACCUGCCCUUGACUUUGGGAUAACUUCAGGGAACUGGGGCUAAUACCGGAUAGGAGCUCCUGCUGCAUGGUGGGGGUUGGAAAGUUUCGGCGGUUGGGGAUGGACUCGCGGCUUAUCAGCUUGUUGGUGGGGUAGUGGCUUACCAAGGCUUUGACGGGUAGCCGGCCUGAGAGGGUGACCGGCCACAUUGGGACUGAGAGACGGCCCAGACUCCUACGGGAGGCAGCAGGGGGGAAUAUUGCACAAUGGGCGGAAGCCUGAUGCAGCAACGCCGCGUGCGGGAUGACGGCCUUCGGGUUGUAAACCGCUUUCGCCUGUGACGAAGCGUGAGUGACGGUAAUGGGUAAAGAAGCACCGGCUAACUACGUG